AGGACGAACGCUGGCGGCGUGCUUAACACAUGCAAGUCGAGCGAGGCCCUCUCUUCGGAGAGGUGCCCUAGCGGCGAACGGGUGAGUAACACGUGGGCAACCUGCCCCUAGCACUGGGAUAAGCCCGGGAAACCGGGUCUAAUACCGGAUAUGACCUUCAAGGGCAUCCUCGAAGGUGUAAAGGAUUCUGGCUAGGGAUGGGCCCGCGGCCUAUCAGCUUGUUGGUGGGGUAAUGGCCCACCAAGGCAACGACGGGUAGCCGGCCUGAGAGGGCGACCGGCCACGACUGGGACUGAGACACGGCCCAGACUCCUACGGGAGGCAGCAGUGGGGAAUAUUGCACAAUGGGGGAAACCCUGAUGCAGCGACGCCGCGUGCGGGAUGAAGGCCUUCGGGUUGUAAACCGCUUUCAGCAGGGGCGAAUUCAGACGGUACCUGCAGAAGAAGCGCCGGCUAACUACGUGCCAGCAGCCGC
rnacentral:rRNA from 1 species